AGAGUAUUGAAGGAGAUU
rnacentral:miRNA from 1 species